UCGGGAAUUUUGGGCAAUGGGCGAAAGCCUGACCCAGCAACGCCGCGUGAGGGAUGAAGUAUUUCGGUAUGUAAACCUCGAAAGAAUGGGAAGAAUAAAUGACGGUACCAUUUAUAAGCUCCGGCUAACUACGUGCCAGCAGCCGCGGUAAUCCGUAGGGAGCAAGCGUUGUUCGGAUUUACUGGGCGUAAAGGGCGCGUAGGCGGCGCGGUAAGUCAAUUGUGAAAUCUCUGAGCUUAACUCAGAACGGCCAAGUGAUACUGCUGUGCUAGAGUGCGGAAGAGGCAACCGGAAUUCUUGGUGUAGCGGUGAAAUGCGUAGAUAUCAAGAGGAACACCUGAGGCGAAGGCGGGUUGCUGGGCCGACACUGACGCUGAUGCGCGAAAGCCAGGGGAGCAAACG
rnacentral:rRNA from 1 species